CAAGGUUUCCGUAGGUGAACCUGCGGAAGGAUCAUUGUCGAAGCCUAGAAAGCAUGACCGUGGACAAGUUGUUAAUCGWGGAUGCACUUGGAUCCUUCGGGUACUCCAUUUGCCUUCCCCUCGGUCGGUGAUGAGCCUUGCGCCCCUCGCUGAUCGAAACGAAUGAACCCCGGCGCGGAUCGCGCCAAGGAAUCGAAACCGAAAGAGCCUGGCUCGGYGGCUCGUUCUCGGGCUGCCAGGGCCAUAGGUCUAUUCGAAAUACC
rnacentral:misc_RNA from 1 species